AUUUAUUCUUUUCAUUUAUUCGUUUUUAUCUCCAUCUUCAUCGCUCCCACCACCACCACCAUUGCAGCACCACCUUUACUUCUGCCACCAUUCGAGCGCCACCUCUACUGCAACAUCGUCAUCAGCGGUUCAUCUUGUUUUUCUUCUUAUCCUCUUCUUUUCCUCCUAUUAUCAGUGAUUUUAACAUCAUCUAAAGAUUCAGGCGAUCGAGAUAUUUGUUUCUUAGGUUUCGAUCUAUGGUAAUUUCUAAUUGAAAUAGGGAAUCAAAAUCAGACGAAUUUCAGAGAGAUUGAUGAAUCAGGCUUUGUUAAAACUCAAGGAGUAAUGAUGAUGAUGUGGUGGUGGCGGCUUUGAGGGAGAUUUGGUGAACAAUAGCAAGGUCUUGGACCAACGAGUUUAGGGACACUUUACAAGCUGGUGCAGAUGUUAGUAUGAUUGGUGUUGGGUUUUUACUCUGCUUAUCUUGCAUCCAUUGGGGUGAGUGGGGUAAUGUCUGUUUAUUACACAGGUACCUAGCCACCUACUUCUGCUGGAACUAAAUAAGUCGCAUUUCAGUGGGUGUCGAGGUAUGCAUGGGACUAUUUCGGAAGGCAUGACCAUGACUGCUGCUUUUCAUUUUGUGGAGUUGUGAGAGAAGCGUCUGGCUGCAGUUGCUAUGAAGAUAUAGAUACUGGAGUUUGAUUGUCGCCGCAGUUGGUUCUCCGCGGGUUCAAAUGGCCAGGUUGGAGCUAUGCAUGGAGUCUCAGUCCCGGUGAUGUUCUUCUACAACAACAAUGGGUAUUAUUCAAUGUCGAAGCUGGGUUUCGCUGGUGGAGCUAACUGGUGACUGCAUUUAAAGUAUACCUGUAGUGGAAAAUUAUCUUUAUGUAUACGUCUUAGAGUAAUCGCGACGAAUUUGUGGUGCAAUGGUAGUGCAACUGACUAUAUGUCAGAAGAUGUGUGUUCGACUCACACUAGGUUCACUCAUUUGUGUAUAAUUUUAUUUUCGGAGACAACUUGUGAUAGUUGCCUCCAUAUCUGAAUACAACUUGUGCUAGUUGUUUUCAUUUUUGAAGACAACUUCGUACAAGUUGCCUCCGAACACAACUUCAACAAGUUGACUCCACAUGGUGGUGGUGGAAGUGGUGGUUGCUGGUGGUGAUCAGUGGUGGUGUUUGGUGGCGGUGAUGGUGGUUGUGGUGAUGGUAGACAGAGGUGGUGGUUGGCGAUGGCGGUGGGCGGC